CAGUCGCCACGGUAAUACGUAGGGUGCGAGCGUUAAUCGGAAUUACUGGGCGUAAAGCGUGCGCAGGCGGUUCGUUAAGACAGAUGUGAAAUCCCCGGGCUUAACCUGGGAACUGCAUUUGUGACUGGCGAGCUAGAGUAUGGCAGAGGGGGGUAGAAUUCCACGUGUAGCAGCGAAAUGCGUAGAGAUGUGGAGGAAUACCGAUGGCGAAGGCAGCCCCCUGGGCCAAUACUGACGCUCAUGCACGAAAGCGUGGGGAGCAAACAGGAUUAGAUACCCCCGUAGUCCCUGUCUCUUAUAC
rnacentral:rRNA from 1 species